GCUCCGGUGGCCUAGUGGUUAGAGUGCCCGCCUCGGAUGCGGGAGGUCUCGGGUUCGAACACUGACCGAGUCA